rnacentral:rRNA from 1 species
AUGACCACUAUUCGCACACUUCUUGUUGUGGCCUCUAUUGGCCAUUGGUCUGUUUCUCAGCUUGAUGUUAAGAAUGCCUUUCUUAAUGGUGAGUUGCGUGAGGAGGUUUAUAUGCAGCCACCACCUGGGUAUUCUGUUCCUGGUGGCAUGGUAUGUCGUCUUCGUCGCUCUCUUUAUGGCCUUAAGCAAGCCACUCGCACCUGGUUUGAGCGUUUUGCCUCUGUGGUGACCGCCGCUGGUUUUUCAGCGAGUGCUCAUGAUCCGACACUGUUUGCCCACCUUUCAGCUCGUGGUCGGACUCUUCUUCUCACUGGCGACGACCCUGAGUACAUUGCCUUUGUCAAGGCCCGUCUCAGUGAGCAGUUUCUUAUGUCUGAUCUUGGUCCUCUUCAUUACUUUCUUGGGAUUGAGGUUUCCUCCACCUCUGAUGGCUUUUUUAUUUCCCAAGAAAAAUAUAUCCAGGAUCUUCUUACUCAUGCGGCUCUUAGUGAUGAGCGCACUAUAGAGACUCCUAUGGAGCUCUGUUCAUGUUCGCGCUUCUGA